rnacentral:rRNA from 1 species
CAGCAGCCGCGGGAAUACGGAGGGGGCUAGCGUUGUUCGGAAUUACUGGGCGUAAAGCGCACGUAGGCGGCUUUGUAAGUCAGAGGUGAAAGCCCGGGGCUCAACCCCGGAAUUGCCUUUGAGACUGCAUCGCUUGAAUCCAGGAGAGGUGAGUGGAAUUCCGAGUGUAGAGGUGAAAUUCGUAGAUAUUCGGAAGAACACCAGUGGCGAAGGCGGCUCACUGGACUGGUAUUGACGCUGAGGUGCGAAAGCGUGGGGAACAAACAGGAUUAGAUACCCCCGUAGUCCCUGUCUCUUAUAC